rnacentral:rRNA from 1 species
UACGAAGGGAGCUAACGUUGUUCGGAAUUACUGGGCGUAAAGCGCACGUAGGCAGACUUAUAAGUCAGGGGUGAAAUCCCGGGGCUCAACAUCGGAACUGCCUUUGAUACUGCAAGUCUCGAGUCCGGAAGAGGUGAGUGGAAUUCCUAGUGUAGAGGUGAAAUUCGUAGAUAUUAGGAAGAACACCAGUGGCGAAGGCGGCUCACUGGUCCGGUACUGACGCUGAGGUGCGAAAGCGUGGGGAGAAAACAGG